rnacentral:rRNA from 1 species
GCACAUGGUGGAUGCCUUGGCGAUUACAGGCGAUGAAGGACGUAGUAGCUUGCGAUAAGCUGCGGGGAGUGAGCAAACACACUUUGAUCCGCAGAUUUCCGAAUGGGGAAACCCGGCCCUUUGGGUCAUUGCAUGCUGAAUACAUAGGCAUGCAAAGCGAACGCGGCGAACUGAAACAUCUAAGUAGCUGCAGGAAAAGAAAUCAACCGAGAUUCCCAAAGUAGUGGCGAGCGAAAUGGGAUGAGCCUGUACGUGAUAGUCGAAUUGAUAGUGGAACAACCUGGAAAUGUUGGCCAUAGCGGGUGAUAGCCCCGUACACGAAAUUCAGACGGUGGUACUAAGCGUACGACAAGUAGGGCGGGACACGAGAAAUCCUGUCUGAACAUGGGGGGACCAUCCUCCAAGGCUAAAUACUCGUAAUCGACCGAUAGUGAACCAGUACCGUGAGGGAAAGGCGAAAAGAACCCCUGUGAGGGGAGUGAAAUAGAACCUGAAACCGUGUGCAUACAAGCAGUCGGAGCCC